rnacentral:rRNA from 1 species
CUGAUCAGCCAUGCCGCGUGUGUGAAGAAGGCCUUAUGGUUGUAAAGCACUUUAAGCGAGGAGGAGGCUACUUUAGUUAAUACCUAGAGAUAGUGGACGUUACUCGCAGAAUAAGCACCGGCUAACUCUGUGCCAGCAGCCGCGGUAAUACAGAGGGUGCAAGCGUUAAUCGGAUUUACUGGGCGUAAAGCGCGCGUAGGCGGCUAAUUAAGUCAAAUGUGAAAUCCCCGAGCUUAACUUGGGAAUUGCAUUCGAUACUGGUUAGCUAGAGUGUGGGAGAGGAUGGUAGAAUUCCAGGUGUAGCGGUGAAAUGCGUAGAGAUCUGGAGGAAUACCGAUGGCGAAGGCAGCCAUCUGGCCUAACACUGACGCUGAGGUGCGAAAGCAUGGGGAGCAAACAGGAUUAGAUACCCUGGUAGUCCAUGCCGUAAACGAUGUCUACUAGCCGUUGGGGCCUUUGAGGCUUUAGUGGCGCAGCUAACGCGAUAAGUAGACCGCCUGGGGAGUACGGUCGCAAGACUAAAACUCAAAUGAAUUGACGGGGGCCCGCACAAGCGGUGGAGCAUGUGGUUUAAUUCGAUGCAACGCGAAGAACCUUACCUGGCCUUGACAUAGUAAGAACUUUCCAGAGAUGGAUUGGUGCCUUCGGGAACUUACAUACAGGUGCUGCAUGGCUGUCGUCAGCUCGUGUCGUGAGAUGUUGGGUUAAGUCCCGCAACGAGCGCAACCCUUUUCCUUAUUUGCCAGCGAGUAAUGUCGGGAACUUUAAGGAUACUGCCAGUGACAAACUGGAGGAAGGCGGGGACGACGUCAAGUCAUCAUGGCCCUUACGGCCAGGGCUACACACGUGCUACAAUGGUCGGUACAAAGGGUUGCUACCUAGCGAUAGGAUGCUAAUCUCAAAAAGCCGAUCGUAGUCCGGAUUGGAGUCUGCAACUCGACUCCAUGAAGUCGGAAUCGCUAGUAAUCGCGGAUCAGAAUGCCGCGGUGAAUACGUUCCCGGGCCUUGUACACACCGCCCGUCACACCAUGGGAGUUUGUUGCACCAGAAGUAGCUAGCCU